rnacentral:rRNA from 1 species
AUUGAACGCUGGCGGCAUGCCUUACACAUGCAAGUCGAACGGCAGCACGGGAGCAAUCCUGGUGGCGAGUGGCGAACGGGUGAGUAAUAUAUCGGAACGUGCCCAGUCGUGGGGAUAACGUAGCGAAAGCUACGCUAAUACCGCAUACGAUCUAUGGAUGAAAGCGGGGGAUCGCAAGACCUCGCGCGAUUGGAGCGGCCGAUAUCAGAUUAGGUAGUUGGUGAGGUAAAGGCUCACCAAGCCGACGAUCUGUAGCUGGUCUGAGAGGACGACCAGCCACACUUGGACUGAGACACGGCCCAGACUCCUACGGGAGGCAGCAGUGGGGAAUUUUGGACAAUGGGCGCAAGCCUGAUCCAGCAAUGCCGCGUGCAGGAUGAAGGCCUUGGUUGUAACUGCUUUGUACGGAACGAAACGGUAGAGCUCUAAUACAGUUGCUAAUGACGGUACCGUAAGAAUAAGACACCGGCUAACUACGU